rnacentral:rRNA from 1 species
UAGAGUUUGUACGUCCUGGCUCGAGGACGAACGCUGGCGGCGUGCUUAACACAUGCAAGUCGAACGCUGAAGCCUGGCUUUUGUUGGGUGGAUGAGUGGCGAACGGGUGAGUAACACGUGAGUAACCUGCCCCUUCUUUGGGAUAACGCCCGGAAACGGGUGCUAAUACUGGAUAUUCACUGGUCUUCGCAUGGGGGUUGGUGGAAAGGGUUUUCUGGUGGGGGAUGGGCUCGCGGCCUAUCAGCUUGUUGGUGGGGUGAUGGCCUACCAAGGCUUUGACGGGUAGCCGGCCUGAGAGGGUGACCGGUCACAUUGGGACUGAGAUACGGCCCAGACUCCUACGGGAGGCAGCAGUGGGGAAUAUUGCACAAUGGGCGCAAGCCUGAUGCAGCGACGCCGCGUGAGGGAUGGAGGCCUUCGGGUUGUGAACCUCUUUCGCUCAUGGUCAAGCCGCAACAAUGGUUGUGGUGAGGGUAGUGGGUAAAGAAGCGCCGGCUAACUACGUG